GAUGGCAAUAGGUGUGUGCCUAUGUUUUUAUUGUUUUGAUCUGGUCAAGUUCACACGGGUUCUUAUUUUCAUAAGGCCAAAUGGUGUUCAUCAAUGCUUUCGAUAUCUUUCCUCUUUUUGCUAUGUAUGUUUUCAUGAUAUUUCUCUUGUCCUUUACAUAAAAUAUCUUUUCAUUGCCCCUCGGAUGACUCCCAAAUGUUGUUUUUCAUCUGUCAAAAAAGGUGCUUUGCCUGAUAAUAAUUUUUUUGUUAUGUUUGUUCAACAGUACACAGCAACAUUGAUUGUGCUAGGCGUGAUGGAAACGUGAUGCUCGCAGACACUUGUCAAGAUGCGGAAGGAUGGGGACACAAUGGUGGGGAACUUGGGUAUAUGAAUGAUAGACAUGAUCAGAAUAUGCAUACCACAUUAGGUUGACAUGGAGUGGAGAGGAGCCAAGGUAGGGGUGGUGAAGGGAGGCAUUGGAAGAACAAAGAAGAAGGUAUUUGGCAAGAAAUAAGGCAGAAAAAUCAGUUGGGCACAUAACGUUUAGCAAAAAUGAGCUCACCAUUUUCGAGUGUUUACUACAUCCUGGUCAUCUACAAGUACUACAAGACAUCAUAUAAUUAGGAAACCAUGCAAUGUCCUGUUGUUUGAGGUUGCCCCCAUUUGCAACUGGAUGUUCUGUGUGUGAUGCAAGUUGCAUGUUGUGUUCAGCUCAACGAGUUCCAGUGGCUUUGUGACAACAAGCACAGGCGAACGAACCUGCCGUUGAGGUGGGUCGCACAGCAGAGCAAAUGGCAGAGGUGCCCCAAGCACAAGAUCUACGUAGACAGAAAGGAUGGCUGCACCUUCAUUGCUUGAAGAUAACUACUGCUUUGUUGGCUUUUCCUAAAAUGGCGUACGUUGGAGUCUAAAUCGAUUGAGUGCCACGGAUGAACGCAGCAGUAUCCGUAUAAUGAAAGUGAAGUUUCUGGACAAAUCCAACUACAAAUUCUGGGAACGAGUUAAAUAUUCGACCAAUAUAACAUCCAUGCUGAACUAGCUACCUAUCCUGCACAUGGAACACAUCGUCAAGUCAAGCGAGUAAAGAAACUAUUUCAAGACAUGUCAGUUCACCAAUCUCCUGUAUUGAGUUGUAGGUUAUCAUAAGAAGAAGCAAUUAGACAUUGAAUCUUCGCUUCACCAAUCCCAGGUACCUCUGAUUUCUUAAAUGAUUAUCUGUCAACAAAAUUGUUCGAUGUUAAGGCAGUGGUUGCUGAGAUGAGGAAAAAUUCCCGAUAUGGUAGAGGACUGACGAUUUCCUGACAAUGGGGGCCUAAUUUAGUAUUUGCAUGAAGCAUCAUUGGAUUAUCCAUGGAGAGACAAUUUAUAAUUAUCAGAAAGGCACCACCGAUGUCCAAGUCGUCUUUGGUGUAUGCGUCGUCUUUGUCCGCUUCCUUCACAUGCUCUUCGUUGCCACCGAUCGACCUUGCGUAGCACCCAACACGCCGUGAGUGAGGAGUUUUCGGCCAAGCACUAUAAGAAGGAUGAUUUUUGCUACCUCAAGAGGAUUAUCCUUAAGUUGUUUUGAGGAGAAAGGGGAUGACCAAGAUGAUUUUCUGCAACCAUAUUUACAUCUUUAGAGCAUACUUUGGUCAGGACGUUGGCGGUAGCUACCAUGUUGCUUCAACACGAUGGAGUAGUGCAUGUAGUUCUUGACGAUUGUUAGUUGGUUUUUUAAGGAAAAAACUGUAUUAGAUUGUUUGGUCAUUCAUAGAUUUUAAUGUCUUGACACUAUAAUACUAGCUUGGUCAGUAAUUUCCCCACAUUUUAUGAAAGAUUUUUAAAUAGAACAACGAUGUGAACGGGAAUCCUCUGAAAAGGAAUUUGAGUUCUAGAGAGCUUUGUUGGGUUACCACACCAUAUUUUUGCAUGGAAGUUAAAUCAUCGGAGUGGGAGUUUGAGGCAACAGUAAUGGCAAAACUUGAGCUGCUAACCGAGCCCGCAAUUUUGUUAUUCUAGGCUUGUUUGGGCUGAAAUUUCUCCCAACCAUCAAGGAAGUACGACUGGAUGUCGUCUUUUUUAUCAUUGUAUAGGUGGAUAUUUUGGGGGCACACGUCAUUUUAACACCACUAUGUUUCUGAAGUAGCUGACUAUAGUUGUAAUGGACAUACAUUCUUUGAAGAAUUAAAGGUAUUACUCACUUGAUUUAAUAGCUCAUUUUAUGCAUAUUCAAAAUACUGAAUGAUAGAAUGAUAUGCUGCCCGUGAUAGUUGUUUCUUGUUUUAUUGUACGUUGGAGCUUUUACUUGUAAUUUGAUCUACUUAUCCACUUUUUAUCAUGAAUAGUAUGACCAAUGAGGUAGAGGUGAAAUGCUCUGUAAAUAAAGAGAGACUAAGAUGAUUUCCUAUACUACAAUUUUGUAGAGAUGUGGAGAAGGAAAGUGUUACUGUUCUUUCAAUAAAGUUUCAUGUUCUGAGUCUGCAUGGCAUGAAAUACUCUAAUUUUUUUCUUUUAGUUUCUUGAGAUGAACAAGUCGCCAUGGACAGGUGAGAUCGAAAGAUGGCACCAUGGUCACGAGGAGCGGCGACUGAGAGGAGAGGAAACAAAUACCGGCGGCCGCAACGGCCCGAGCGUUUGGGAGAUGGGAUGGAGUGGCGGCUGUGGGGCCGUGUCGACCUGACCAGUUGCGAGAGCGGUGGCUGCACGGAUGCACUCGUGGAGGUGUCGGUAUGCACCCUGGUUUUGAUCCUGUUCGGUGGUAGCGGAAGAGAGGCAAUCAUGGAGGUGACAGGCGCAAUGGCUUGAGCAUGCUGGUAACCACACAACAAAUGGUCAUCCCAAGUUUGUAUGGCUGAGUUCAUUGGUUGCUCCAGUAUACUUCCCAGACAGUGCUUUAAAUCAUCAAAGCUUGACGUUGUUCCUUGUCAUAGAGGAGCUACUUAGAAGGAGAGGUGGAGAUGAUGUAUCCAAGGAGAUGCCACCACUGCUGGUUGGGGCAUCGCUCUUCGCGUGUGUGUUUGUUGCCGAUGCUCGCAUGUGGAUGGUAUGCAUGUUUCAGAUAGUAUUGCAUUCAACAAUAGAUAAGUUUCAAUAGAUACGUUUGUGAUUCCAUGGCAACACACGGGCAUUCAACUAAAUUUACCUUCCUGAGAUUAGGAAUAGAUCAGAAAGAAGGUGACGUGAUAUAGGGCAUUCAACAAUGACAUGGAAGCUACAUGCAGAUUCAAGGGGCAAUAAAUUGAGAGGUGAAUGAUGAGGGAAGGUGAUGGACAACAUGUUCAACGAGAAAGAGCGGCUAGAGGGUUGUGUGGUGUUUCUAAGAAUAUAGAGAAGAACAUACUUGUAUUUGUGUUUUGGUUGAACAUCGCAUGCAAUGUGCUCAUUUGUGGGGAGAAAAAUAAGCAUUGUUUACAAGUUCAUUUGUUGGCCCGUGGCAACGCACGGGCAAUCUUUAAACACUUAUUAAGGAACAUGCUAAGGAUGGAGGAACGGACGUCAAGUUCCAGCUGCAUAUUAUUCAGCUCGAUUCAUUGCUCAGGAUAAUUCAGAAUCUAAAAUUUGAAGGGAAAGCUAGGAGUCAUUAAUGAUAGGUACGGAAGUUGGUGGACACCUACAAGGAUGUGGAGAUGAGCAUCAUCAUGAUGCGGCACAACCUCGGGGCGGCGCUGGCCACCCUCAACACGUUCGAAAUUUUUGAGAAUGGCCAGUCACGGCGUUUGCGUUUGUUAGGCCGCGCGUGGGCGGCGCCAGCUUUAAGAAGCGGUUCCGGUUUGUUUUCGCCAUACCUGAGGGCGUCGCUGUCCGGUUUAUUUUUGCUGUUCGGAUCACCGCAAGGAGGAGAAAGCAACAUGAAGUUUCUGGGGCGGGUAAUGCUCUUCACGUCCAUGGUUGAGUUUAAUUGAUUUUUUUAAUGAUAAGGGAGGUCAUGGAUUCGUAGUCGUGGUGCAUGUUAUGUAUUUUUCUGAACUAUUUUUCAAUAUGUUGAAUCAUGUGAGAGUAUUUCCAGUUUCCACACAAAUAUACAAACUCAUCUCCAUGCUAUAUUUUAGGAUAGGCUACAGAUGUCUAUGUUCUUUCAUCCAGCCCAUGACGCAAACUUCUUCCAUGUGCCAAAUUUGCUCUAAAUAAUGUUGUCAUUGAGAAAAUUAUUGUGUGUGGCUCUUCCAGCUGUACAUUUGGUACGAUUUGCUCCCGCAUGCGUGAUGUGGUUAUGAUUUUCUGGUGCCUAUUUUUUUGCAAAGAUUAACAAUAUUUGGAAGAUGGUAUGGUUUGCCGGACCGGAACUAGAACAAGAACAAGAAUGAGAAGGAGCUUAAGUAGGGCCAUGUCAGGGUGUUGCUGCAAUAGGAAAUUGUCGCCAGCACUAAAUACCAGGGGAACCAAUUUUUUUCUACAAAGGUAACAAACUUUAUGCGUCUAAUUGAACUAUAAAUUAUUGCCUAUAUAGAGGGACCAAAUCGAGCAGGCCAUAAACAACCUAUUCCUGCUUAUCUUUGUUUUCUUUGUAUUUGUAUUAUUAAUCUUGGUUUCAACUGGCGUGUUGAGUGCAAUCUUCCGGGUGCAAUCCUCAAAUAUGGGAUGUCAGUACUAGCCUUAAUUCAACAUCUGGAUUGGCUUAUGAUGGCAUGGAGUUCCAUCGUUUCGGCUGCUCGCGGCGGGGAGUGUGUGGCCGGUGCUUGCGGCAACAGCGGAGUGGCAUGCGCGAGCGCGGUGUAGGCAGUGGCCAAAGGCUCAUCGGCCGCUGCGAGUACGCCGUUGGCACCAGUAUCAUGACAUUGUAAUAUAAAUCUUGAUUCAAGAUAAAUGAAACCUUUCCUAUAUACAAUCAGCUUUUUAUUGAAAGUUGCAUUUGAUGGUUUA